GCUCACUUCAGCAGAAUAUAUACUAAAAUUGGAAUGACACAAAGAAGGUGAGUGUGAUCCCUGCGCAAGGAUGACACACAAAUUUUUAAUGUUCCAUAUUAAA
rnacentral:snRNA from 1 species